AUUGAACGCUAGCGGGAUGCUUUACACAUGCAAGUCGAACGAGAGGCGGACGGGUGAGAUAUAAAUCGGCACGUGCCCAGUAGAGGGGGAUAACUACUCGAAACAGCUGCCACAUACGCCUACAAUUGCAGCUGUCGAUAUCGGACUAGCUAGUUGGUGGGGUAAAGGCUCACCAAGGCAACGAUCCGUAGCUGGUUUGAGAGGACGACCAGCCACACUGGGACUGAGACACGGCCCAGACUCCUACGGGAGGCAGCAGUGGGGAAUUUUGGACAAUGGGGGAAACCCUGAUCCAGCCAUCCCGCGUGUAUGAGAAGGCCUUCGGGUUGUAAAGUACUUUUGGCAGAGAAGCGGUAUCUGCAGAAUAAGCACCGGCUAACUACGUGCCAGCAGCCGCGGUAAUAC
rnacentral:rRNA from 1 species